ensembl:lncRNA
GGGUUGUAGAAGUGCAGGCUUUCUGGGCAGCUGUUCGGGAGACACCAGGCAGCAGUGGUCCCCAAGGGUGAGGAGGCUGGGAGGAGCCGGCAGAGCUCCUACACCCACCUCCUGGGAGCAGGGCUGCUGCAGCUCGCUGGAGCUGGAGGCGCGCGGGCUUGGUGACUUCCAACUCGGGAGCCCCUCGGCAGCUGCGGAAGAUGUGGAAUGGAAAAGUACAUCCCGGGAAGUGCAGCCUUUCCCAGGCAAAGAGGUUACCUGUGUUCCCAUAAAGGCAGCAGAUUUCUGGCGAGCGCCGCAGAGAUGGGACAAGCCCCGGGAUAGGUUACUAAGCUUGCAAGGGAUCCGAAAUAUCCCCUGAUUUGCAGCCUGUUGGAAAUGUUCAGACCUCAAACUUUUCUGUCGAACACGGACUUAAAAUUGCGUUUAACUCUUAACGUGGGGUAAUGACCCCCCUCCCUGGCCUAUUCGAGGACCCUCACCGUUCACCGAAUCGCGCCAGUGUAACGUACCUUGUUCAGCUCUUGGUCAUAAAGUUGUCCUCAGCCUGUCUGUGUGGUCCUGAAGGGUCGGUGGCGGGCAGUUUCCAAAAUUGAGGUAAUAGGAGAUCAGAUGAAUUUGAGACGACCGGCCAAGAAAAAUAAAAAAUUUAAAAACAACAUUUAAAAAGGAUAGGGGAGUCUCAAAUGUUUAGGUAUCCCCUACUUAAAAUAAAAUCACUAGUAUUUUUAAAUAUUUCCGUUGCACUUCAAUCUUCUAACUCUUAAAAGAAAAUGUUAUCUGUGCUUUGAAAAUAACUUAACUUUAUUUUAUUUUAUGCUCUAGUUCCUUCCCCCUAAUAUCAGAAAGUCUCUGCUCUCUUUUUGUAUUAAAGGAAAAAAAAAAAAAAAAGCCUGGUAAAAAGUCAGCAGAACCCAGGAAGCGUAGAAUCAGGAGAAUGUCUUUGGCUGGGGCUGGUUCAAGUCCCUGGUUCAAUGGGCUGCUGGAAGCCAGGACUGGGUAAUUCUUUCCAGACGUCUUGACUUCUCCUUCCUCGCGGUUGUUGCCUUUCUGCCUCCUCCAACUUAAGGGGGUCUUAACAAGUGAGCUGGAGGUCCUGGUAAGGAACACGGAACUGAUAAACCACCACCAACGGGAAGAGUUGGGAAAAGAUCAAAAGGAGACACCACAUGUCUGACCGCCUCCCAGAAUCCUCACUGGCAUCCAUCUUGGCACCACCAGGAAGGACUCUGAGUCAGAAUGAAUGGCUAGAAACUAGUCCUAUCACCAUAAAACCCAAGACUGGGAGAGCAGUUCUCCUGGGUUUCCUCACUCUACUGCUCACCACCCAGGCGCCAUUUCCAAUAAAAUCUCUUGUUUGUCAGCAC